AGUGCGGGUGGGGGAUGUUUACAAAAAAUAUUGCACUGCAAUACCAACGGCGAUUAGAAAAUCGAGCAAACACAAAUAAGUUCAUAGCAAUAAAGAUCAAUGUGCGGUACCGACUUUAUAACAAGAUUCGAUGUUUAAAGUCCAGAAUUUUUUGCAUUUCCAGAAAUUAGAUCAGCUGCCGUGCUGUUUUCUUAUUUACAAAACCGCAUAACACACGUAAUGGCGAUGGGAUUAUUUGGGAUAACAAUAAACAAUUGUAUGAAUAUGAAUGCAAUUCAAUUCAAUAUUAUUAUACGGAAUAGUCACGUUAAUGAUAUUUGAAAUGGGACUAAUUAAAGUUUAAUAUUUAAUGCGAGCAUAUUAAACUUAUGUACAAAUACGCAACAAAAGUAGACCCUGACGUCACUUUCUGUUUAUUUCCGUUGCACUGACCUUGCAUGUGAGAUGAUUGGAAUAACUAGGAACGUCGUUUGCCGACUGACACAGCGGUCAAACCUUGUCCAGAAAGCAAAUUUUACAUAUGGGUUACCCAGUGUUCCGGUCCCGAAAUCGAAAAAGUACCUGAUGGGAGGGAUAUUCAUGUUCUUCACAACUGCCCCAAUGCUCUGGAUGUCUGCAAACUUCAAGAAAUACCGCGGCGAUGAACCAUGGUGAUUGAAAAUGUAGACAGUACAUGGACUGCAGAGUGUGAUAUUGUGGACUUGUUGAAUAAUUAUCUGGCAAUGGAACAGUUCGAAAACAACUUCUCAUGAACACUUUGUAUGCAAAUAUUGUUUAAAUUUGAUAAAAAAAUCGAACUUGUUAUCUUAGAAAUGUUUUAGUCCAACAAAAUGGCACAUCCAUUAUGCAAUCAUGUUAGCUGAAUUAAAUAUUUUACAAAACAUUGCUUUGUGUAAGUGAAUAAAAAAUAACAUUGCUA